rnacentral:lncRNA from 1 species
GUGUUUUCUUUGUAUUCCGUUGUUUGUCUAAUUGGCCCUAGUAUAACCUUUUUAUAUCAAAGAAUCGGUCCUAAUGUAUAUAAUAUUUAAAAAAUAACAUACACCGAUAAAAAAAAAAUAUAUAUAAUAUAUAUUCAACUAGUCAAAAGCCGCAACUCCUGCCAAUUACUUUUAACUAGUGUAAGUGUCUUUUUAAUUUCUGUGUACUAUUUUCUUUCUUCCAUAAUUGUGGAUUUACAACCUUGUCCCUUUUGCGUAAAAAAAUGUUGAUAUAGCUGUUCAUGAAAUCCCGGUUCUUGCUUAUUUUAAAUUUAGACGCACUUGAUAGAUCUUUUACCCAUCAAGAAGGUUCAAUAAAUUUAGAAAUAUUUAAAAGUAAAUAUUGUGAUAUGAACGAGAGAUAUAUUAGAUAAUUAAUAAAUAUUGUAAACAAACAAUCACGCCAUCAGACAGCAGACUUUGUACGUCGUCUGGCCGUUGUCUGACCUAAUCACCUGACAUUUCAUCCUCGUCAUUCAUAAAAAAAAAAAUCAAAAUAUCCAAACUACAUGUAUAUGUAAUUGUAAUUUAUUAAAUAUUAACUCGAACUAUAACAUAAAUUUGAUACUGAACUAGUUACUAAAGACACGUGGCUUUUCGCGCCAAAAUGGUGAGGGAAUUUGCGGGAAUAACAACUAUCAUGUGAUGUGUAUUGAACCAGUAUUAUUUUAUUUAAAAUGAAUCAACUUUUCUGCAAAUAGAUUGGAAGCCAAAUGUCUCCGCUACACUGAAUACACCCAUUGUUGUAAAUCCAUCUGAAACACACCACCCCCUUUGAAGAAUCUAGUGACAUCAUUGACUUUCAAGGUCGAGUCAACCAUACGUUCAAAAAAGCUUUCCUUAUAGACAAACUAAUACAGAAUUCUGAAAAUAAAAUCCAUACACACGUUUGAAAAUCAUAAAAGUUC